rnacentral:rRNA from 1 species
UACAGAGGGGGCAAGCGUUAUUCGGAAUUAUUGGGCGUAAAGGGCGCGUAGGCGGCCUGGCAAGUGGAAGGUGAAAUCCCUCGGCUUAACCGAGGAACUGCCCUCCAAACUGCUUGGCUUGAGACCGGGAGAGGUGAGUGGAAUUCCCAGUGUAGCGGUGAAAUGCGUAGAUAUUGGGAGGAACACCAGUGGCGAAGGCGGCUCACUGGACCGGUACUGACGCUGAGGCGCGAAAGCGUGGGGAGCAAACAGG